GCACAUGGUAGGCACUGAUAACUAGUGGCCAUCCGGUCAAGUUCUGGCUGUCUAUACAUGGGCUUCCCUCU
rnacentral:miRNA from 1 species